ACAUGCUUACAACAUAGUGUUAAUUCAUCGGAUCCCAUUAGAACUCUACAAUUAAACACACUAAGGAUAUAGUAUUAUUGGGAUGGGUGACUGCCUAGGAAGUCCUAGUGUUUUACAUGCC
rnacentral:rRNA from 1 species